rnacentral:rRNA from 1 species
CCUACGGGAGGCAGCAGUGGGGAAUAUUGGGCAAUGGGCGCAAGCCUGACCCAGCAACGCCGCGUGAAGGAAGAAGGCUUUCGGGUUGUAAACUUCUUUUCUCAGGACGAAGCCAGUGACGGUACCUGAGGAAUAAGCCACGGCUAACUACGUGCCAGCCGCCGCGGUUAUACGUAGGUGGCCAGCUGUAUCCGGAUUUAAUGGGUGUAAAGGGCGGGUAGGCGGGGACGCAAGGCAGAUGGGAAAACCACGGGCUCAACCUGUGGCCUGCAUUUGAAACUGUUUUUCUUGAGUACUGGAGAGGCAGACGGAAUUCCUAGUGUAGCGGUGAAAUGCGUAGAUAUUAGGAGGAACACCAGUGGCGAAGGCGGUCUGCUGGACAGCAACUGACGCUGAGGCGCGAAAGCGUGGGGAGCAAACAGGAUUAGAUACCCCAGUAGUC